CCUACGGGAUGCAGCAGUCGAGAAUCAUUCACAAUGGGGGAAACCCUGAUGGUGCGACGCCGCGUGGGGGAAUGAAGGUCUUCGGAUUGUAAACCCCUGUCAUGUGGGAGCAAAUUAAAAAGAUAGUACCACAAGAGGAAGAGACGGCUAACUCUGUGCCAGCAGCCGCGGUAAUACAGAGGUCUCAAGCGUUGUUCGGAAUCACUGGGCGUAAAGCGUGCGUAGGCUGUUUCGUAAGUCGUGUGUGAAAGGCGCGGGCUCAACCCGCGGAAGGCACAUGAUACUGCGAGACUAGAGUAAUGGAGGGGGAACCGGAAUUCUCGGUGUAGCAGUGAAAUGCGGAGAUAUCGAGAGGAACACUCGUGGCGAAGGCGGGUUCCUGGACAUUAACUGACGCUGAGGCACGAAGGCCAGGGGAGCGAAAGGGAUUAGAUACCCUAGUAGUC
rnacentral:rRNA from 1 species